rnacentral:rRNA from 1 species
GAAGCGAAACAGCGAUGUGGAGCGAAUCCAGAAAAUAUGUCCCAGUUCAGAUUGCAGGCUGCAACUCGCCUGCAUGAAGCCGGAAUCGCUAGUAAUCGCGGAUCAGAACGCCGCGGUGAAUACGUUCCCGGGUCUUGUACACACCGCCCGUCACACCAUGGGAGUCGGGAACGCCCGAAGUCGGUGCCCCAACCGCAAGGAGGGAGCCGCCGAAGGCAGGCCCGGCGACUGGGGUGAAGUCGUAACAAGGUAUC